rnacentral:rRNA from 1 species
UCCGUAGGCGGGCCCGUAAGUCAGUGGUGAAAUCUCGCAGCUUAACUGCGAAACUGCCAUUGAUACUGCGGGUCUUGAGUGAAUUUGAAGUGGCUGGAAUAAGUAGUGUAGCGGUGAAAUGCAUAGAUAUUACUUAGAACACCGAUUGCGAAGGCAGGUCACUAAGAUUCAACUGACGCUGAGGGACGAAAGCGUGGGGAGCGAACAGGAUUAGAUACCCCCGUA